GACGUAGGGGGCCAGCGUUGCUCGGAAUUACUGGGCGUAAAGGGUCCGUAGGCGGUGCGGUAAGUCGGGAGUGAAAUCUCUGGGCUUAACUCAGAGGCUGCUUCCGAAACUACCGUGCUAGAGUGCGAGAGAGGCAAGUGGAAUUGCGGGUGUAGCGGUGAAAUGCGUAGAGUAUCGGAAGGAACACCUGUGGCGAAAGCGGCUCACUGGACCAUUACUGACGCUGAGGCACGAAAGCUAGGGGAGCAAACAGG
rnacentral:rRNA from 1 species